rnacentral:rRNA from 1 species
UACGUAGGGUGCGAGCGUUAAUCGGAAUUACUGGGCGUAAAGCGUGCGCAGGCGGUUUUGUAAGCCAGAUGUGAAAGCCCCGGGCUCAACCUGGGAAUGGCAUUUGGGACUGCAUGGCUGGAGUGUGGCAGAGGGGGAUGGAAUUCCGCGUGUAGCAGUGAAAUGCGUAGAUAUGCGGAGGAACACCGAUGGCGAAGGCAAUCCCCUGGGCCUGCACUGACGCUCAUGCACGAAAGCGUGGGGAGCAAACAGG